rnacentral:rRNA from 1 species
GACGAACGCUGGCGGCGUGCUUAACACAUGCAAGUCGAACGGAAAGGCCCUGCUUGCAGGGUACUCGAGUGGCGAACGGGUGAGUAACACGUGGGUGAUCUGCCCUGCACUUCGGGAUAAGCCUGGGAAACUGGGUCUAAUACCGGCUAGGAGCCAUUUUUAGUGUGAUGGUUGGAAAGUUUUUUCGGUGUAGGAUGAGCUCGCGGGCUAUCAGCUUGUUGGUGGGGUAAUGGCCUACCAAGGCGGCGACGGGUAGCCGGCCUGAGAGGGUGGACGGCCACAUUGGGACUGAGAUACGGCCCAGACUCCUACGGGAGGCAGCAGUGGGGAAUAUUGAACAAUGGGCGCAAGCCUGAUGCAGCGACGCCGCGUGGGGGAUGACGGCCUUCGGGUUGUAAACUCCUUUCGCUAGGGACGAAGCUUUUUGUGACGGUACCUAGAGAAGAAGCACCGGCUAACUACGUG